UAGCAAUUUUGUGAAAGGAUAGAAGAGGAAGCCAUUCAAAAAAAUACAGGGACAUUGAGAAGGUAAGUGUCCUAGAUAUAGGACAUCCAGAUGGGAGUAGUCAGCCUUGUCAGAUGCUCUAGGGAUUAUAAGGCAAAAGAGUUUUGUAGAGAGACAGAAGAAGCUAGAUUGAAUACUAUUGAGUGGUAGAGACAUUUGAAAAUGAAAAGCUUGAGGUAAGUUAUUUGGUCAGUGAGUUUUUCUUGAAGUCGAGGAUAGGAAGCUGUUGCUGGAGGGAAAUAUGAGAUGUUUAUUUUAAAUGUUGGAGAGAUUAUGUUCUUUUGGCCAAGGGGAAGGAGCCACUAGAAAGCAGAGGUUGAAGAAACAGGAGAAAGAACAUUGAUAGAUUAACUGGCCCUCACCUUUUCUCUGCCCCAAGGAAAGCAGUCAAAGUUGGUAUAGACAGAAUUUCAGCAGUGUAUGGUGGAUUGGGGGUAGGGGUAGAGGAAAUUAAAGCCUGUGUUUCUUGUUUAUUUGUUUGUUUUUCUGAGGACUGAGUCAUUAGCUGAAAGCAUAGGGCAUUAUAGAGCAUAGUGGGGACUUGGGGAACCUGCCACUGGAGAGAGCUUAGGACCUUUUAAUGGCAGAAAUGAUGACUGUGUUGGCAGCAGUUCAUCAGUGCCCAGUACUCAAGGGUCCCCCUGAGAAGCCAGUGGUUGCACUGAUCUAGGUAGAAUCAGGCACAGAAUAAGUCAGGUGAUGUGCCUUUCUAGCACUGGCCUCAGGCUGAGUUAUAAGGGAAGUUACACAGCGAGAGGGACAGGCAAAGAUGGAAAAGAGAGAGAGUGAGAAACAGUGUCUUCUUCCUGGCUGGAGAGCCCGUGUCAUGAAAAUGGGGACAGGGUAAGGGAUCUGAAAGGAGCAGCAUAGAAGCUGGAAGGAUGAGGCCUGUCUUCCUGGCAUUGAUGCUGCAGGACUACAGGAAAGAAUUUCAGAGGUGUCAUUAUUUUUCAUAUAAGCAGAUGAAAGAGAAGAAUUCUUUGAAAAAAGAAAAGUAGGUGAAAAAGGGAGAGACGGACGGAUGCCAGCAGUGAAAGAAGCCAGGACUGAGAUACAAGAUUGUGAUGCUGGGAGAGCUGCAAGGGCUCAUGCUGUAGGUGAGGAGUGAGGCUGCACAGGGAGCUCACUGGCAGCUUGGAGAGAACUGGAUGUCAAAGUUGUCCUGCAGAGGUCUACUGUCAGUGUGUUAGGCUCUGAAGAGAACAGGCUGCAACACAUGAAAACAGGAAGGAGACACAGGGGCGAGUCAGCUCCACCGAAAGUCUGUAGCUGUGACUUUCUGGUUUGCCACUCCAAUUUGAGUACUAAUUAAGUGGUAGUCACAUCUUCAACAUAAAAACCAAAAUAAUGGCAUCCUCGUGGAAGGAAUUUUGUCAGAAAAAUGCUGUGUACUUUGCUGUCUUCCUAGGAUUUGUUCUGUUUUUGUUUGUUUUUUUUAAUGGUUCCACAGGCUGCAUAGGAAUACAAACUAACCAAUAUUUUAAUUACAGAUCAUUAAGCAGCUUUGAGUCUGGAAAAUUUGUUGAAUGUACCGAGCAAUUAGAAUUACUCGGAGAAAUUAUCAGUCCUGGAAAUUAUCAGUUACCAGGAGAAAAUAUCAGUCUACUUGCUGGAGGAUCAAAAGAGAAAAUAGACAUGAAAAAACUGCUUCAUAACAUGUUAAGUCCAGAUCCAAGGGAACCUCAGAAAUCCAUUGAAGUUCCAUUGUUAAGAAGUUCUGUUUGUUUGGCGACUGCUUUAAACCCGAUAGAACAAGAUCAGAAGUGGCAGUCUAUAACUGAGUAAGUUUACUCUUACGGAGGUAAAUGUACAUUGUGUAUAUCAUGUGAUAAACAUACAUGGGGUGAAGAGGGCUGGAAGGAGAGUUACUAGAUUACUAAAUACUAGUGCUAAUAGCUUCAUUUUAGUUGUAGAAGUCAUAUGAUAUAUGAAUGCUGCUUGCCAACAAAAACUGAGGUUGAAAUGAAAUAAAAU
rnacentral:lncRNA from 1 species